rnacentral:rRNA from 1 species
UACGAAGGGGGCUAGCGUUGCUCGGAAUCACUGGGCGUAAAGGGCGCGUAGGCGGCGUUUUAAGUCGGGGGUGAAAGCCUGUGGCUACAACCACAGAAUGGCCUCGAUACUGGGACGUUGAGUAUGGUAGAGGUUGGUGGAACUGCGAGUGUAGAGGUGAAAUUCGUAGAUAUUCGAAGAACACCGGUGGCGAAGGCGGCCA